rnacentral:rRNA from 1 species
AGAGUUUGAUCCUGGCUCAGGAUGAACGCUAGCGACAGGCUUAACACAUGCAAGUCGAGGGGCAGCGGGGAGGCAGCAAUACUUCCGCCGGCGACCGGCGCACGGGUGAGUAACACGUAUGGAACCUGCCCGUAGCAGGGGGAUAAACGGAAGAAAUUCCGUCUAAUACCGCGUAAUAACUCCGAGAGGCAUCUCAUGGAGUUUAAAGGGUAACACCGGCUACGGAUGGCCAUGCGGCGCAUUAGCUAGUUGGCGGGGUAACGGCCCACCAAGGCGACGAUGCGUAGGGGUUCUGAGAGGAAGGUCCCCCACACUGGUACUGAGACACGGACCAGACUCCUACGGGAGGCAGCAGUGAGGAGUAUUGGUCAAUGGGCGCGAGCCUGAACCAGCCAAGUCGCGUGAGGGAAGACGGUCCUAUGGAUUGUAAACCUCUUUUGUCGGGGAGCAAAAGACGCCACGUGUGGCGUUCCGAGAGUACCCGAAGAAAAAGCAUCGGCUAACUCCGUGCCAGCAGCCGCGGUAAUACGGAGGAUGCGAGCGUUAUCCGGAUUUAUUGGGUUUAAAGGGUGCGCAGGCGGAAGAUCAAGUCAGCGGUAAAAUUGAGAGGCUCAACCUCUUCGAGCCGUUGAAACUGGUUUUCUUGAGUGAGCGAGAAGUAUGCGGAAUGCGUGGUAUAGCGGUGAAAUGCAUAGAUAUCACGCAGAACUCCGAUUGCGAAGGCAGCAUACCGGCGCUCAACUGACGCUCAUGCACGAAAGUGUGGGUAUCGAACAGGAUUAGAUACCCUGGUAGUCCACACAGUAAACGAUGAAUACUAAUUGUUCGGGGAGAAUGAUCCCUGAGUGAUACAGCGAAAGCGUUAAGUAUUCCACCUGGGGAGUACGCCGGCAACGGUGAAACUCAAAGGAAUUGACGGGGGCCCGCACAAGCGGAGGAACAUGUGGUUUAAUUCGAUGAUACGCGAGGAACCUUACCCGGGCUCAAACGACACAGGAAUACUUUUGAAAGGAGGUAGCUCUACGGAGUCUGUGUCGAGGUGCUGCAUGGUUGUCGUCAGCUCGUGCCGUGAGGUGUCGGCUUAAGUGCCAUAACGAGCGCAACCCCCAUCGCCAGUUACCAGCAAGUCAAGUUGGGGACUCUGGCGAGACUGCCGGCGCAAGCUGUGAGGAAGGCGGGGAUGACGUCAAAUCAGCACGGCCCUUACGUCCGGGGCGACACACGUGUUACAAUGGCAGGUACAGAGAGAAGCAAUGCGGCGACGCAAAGCGGAACUUGAAAGCCUGUCUCAGUUCGGAUUGGAGUCUGCAACUCGACUCCAUGAAGCUGGAUUCGCUAGUAAUCGCGCAUCAGCCAUGGCGCGGUGAAUACGUUCCCGGGCCUUGCACACACCGCCCGUCA